rnacentral:rRNA from 1 species
CGGACCGGCGCACGGGUGAGUAACGCGUAUGCAACUUGCCUAUCGGGGGGGAGUAACCCGGCGAAAGUCGGACUAAUACCGCAUGAAGCAGGGGCCCCGCAUGGGGAUAUUUGCUAAAGAUUCAUCGCUGAUAGAUAGGCAUGCGUUCCAUUAGGCAGUUGGCGGGGUAACGGCCCACCAAACCGACGAUGGAUAGGGGUUCUGAGAGGAAGGUCCCCCACAUUGGUACUGAGACACGGACCAA